AACGCACAUUGCGCCCGAGGCUUCGGCCAGAGGCAUGUCUGCCUCAGCGUCCUGUUUCGUUACCCCUCUCUCCCCGAGAUGGGUGAGCUGACGAUCCCCCUUCUCGCAAGGGCGUUCGUCGAAACGGAGUUCGAUCGAAGCCGCGCUCCCCCGCUCCUCUCCAGGAGCGGCAGCGCGACCGAAGCUUGGUAGGAGGGAGACCUCUUUAUCGCUUUGGCCGUGCGUGGGACACUGGUCGAGGUCGUGAACCUUUCAAUCCAACACUCAGGACCUGAGCUCAGGCAAGGCUACCCGCUGAACUUAA
rnacentral:misc_RNA from 1 species